ACUAAACAGAACAGCCAGAAACACUCAGGAAACGCGUGACACGGAACCGAAACGCGCGAGCCCGUGAAUGGAGCGUGUUAACCGGAUGUUCAUCUCAGCUCUCCUAGUCCUCUGCUUGAUGUGGGUGGUUCAUGCCACCCUGUUAGGAGCCCUGCCCACUAGCCAAUCAGGUAAGAGCUUUGAUAAGUAAAUGUGAUAAUUUGAUAAAUGUGGCUCCUCUCUCUCUCCAUCUUUAAGUCUAGAAUACUCGCAAAAAUGUUUCAGUAAGGUCUCAAAUCGACUCUCUAUUCACUACAAAUACUAAUUAAAGCCAUCAUUAUUCUAUUCUGGGUGUGUUCCAAACCGCCCCUUCUAAUCACUACAAAGGCUAAAUAAAUACCACCACAUUUACACUCUGGAUGUGUCCCAAACCUCAUAGUGUAAUCACUACAAAGGCUAAAUAAAUACCAUCAUUACUCCAUUCUGGAUGUGUCCAAAACUACAAAUUCUUAUUCAGCACACAGGUUAAAUAAAUGCUAGGGGUGUAACGAUACACUACAGUUACGAUUCAAAUCGAUUCACGGAACUGGCUUCAAGAUUCAUGAUUCAGUUCUCAGAAUACUUUUAACAAAAUUUGAAUGAAGAAAAAUUUGGACUGAAAAGACUCUUUUAAAUUUUUUAUUUUAUUUCAUUAUUUUUGAACUAAUGUGCAUCUUUGGUCUAUGAAACACUAAAUAAGUUAAAAGUUGCUACAAACAGUUUUAAUAUUGUAAACAAAAUGUACUACAGUAUCUUAAAAAUAAAUACAUGUAUAAAUUCUCCAAGAAAUUUGGCUGUAUAAGCAAAGUCCCAUGGGACAGUGAUGGAUUGAAACGUAUUGAGCUCUGUAGCAGCACCUAAGGCAUCAUUUUAACUGAAAAUAGAGCUGCAAAGUCGGCUAAAAUGCCCGGCUUCUGCAGCCUCUUUAUCGGGCACGGUAGAUCACAGAGGCACCAGGGUGGUGUCGUUUCAAAGCUACCGAAGAGCUCUUUCUAACCGUUAUAAUGUGGUUGUGUAACCAUAUAACUAAUAAUCCUUGUUGGUCAUUGCGAUCUGGUGCUAUCGGCCAAUGCAUAAUUAAUAGAACGCUGAUAUACACAAUGUGAGUCGCACAUUCCCAUGACGCACAUCGUGUAAUUGUCUUGCGUCGUGUAACAAUGCAUCAUUACACCGCUAAUGAAUACCAUCAUUUAUUUCAUUCUGGAGGUGUCCCCAAACCACAUUUCCUAUUCAAUAGAAAGGCUGAAUAACUGCCAUCAUUAUUCCACCGUGGAUGUGUCCCAAACCACACUUCAUAUUCACUACAAAGGCUAAACAUAUAUCAUCACUUUUCCAACGUGGACAUGUUCCAAACCACAAACUCUUAUUCAGUACUAAUGUUAAUGAACAGUCGUAUCAUUCCACGUUAAUGGACCAGUCGAUUGUUAUUCACGAGUUCAAAGGUCAAAAUUUUCUCACAGCAAUGAGUUUAGGAGUUCGAUAUGAUCUGAUAUGAAAGGCAUGGAGGUAUAGUUAGCAGUCGACGGUUUAAAAGGUUAUUAAGGUAAAGUUGCUAAAACGUUAUGUAAGCAGAUUUUUUUUUUUUUUUUUUUUUGUCAGGGGUAUUAGAUUUUCA
ensembl:lncRNA